rnacentral:misc_RNA from 1 species
UUAAGUUCAGCGGGUAUCCCUACCCGAUCCGAGGUCAACCUGUGAUAAAGAGGUUUAACGGCGCGUCCGUCUCGUCCCGGCAGCGAUUUGAAUGACCACAACGCUGAGGUUCGAUCCGUCCAGCCGGUGAAAUGGGGGCGCGAGGACUCUCGUCGCCCAAUACCAAGCGAGGCUUGAGUGGUGUAAUGACGCUCGAACGG